GAUGAACGCUGGCGGCGUGCCUAAUACAUGCAAGUCGAGCGAACAGACGAGGAGCUUGCUCCUCUGACGUUAGCGGCGGACGGGUGAGUAACACGUGGAUAACCUACCUAUAAGACUGGGAUAACUUCGGGAAACCGGAGCUAAUACCGGAUAAUAUAUUGAACCGCAUGGUUCAAUAGUGAAAGACGGUUUUGCUGUCACUUAUAGAUGGAUCCGGGCGGCAUUAGCUAGUUGGUAGGGUAACGGCGUACCAAGGCAACGAUGCGCAGCCGAACUGACAGGGUGAUCGGCCACACUGGAGCUGAGCCACGGUCCAGACUCCUACGGGAGGCAGCAGUAGGGUAUCUUCCGCAAUGGGCGAAAGCCUGACGGAGCAAGGCCGAGUGAGUGAUGACGGUCUUCGGAUCGUAAAACUCUGUUAUUAGGGAAGAACAAAUGUGUAAGUAAAUAUGGACGUCUUGACGGUACCUAAUCAGAAAGCCACGGCUAACUACGUG
rnacentral:rRNA from 1 species